GCACUGCUGAAGAGUCCCAUAAUAGGACGAAGCCGCCGUCCAGUGC
rnacentral:hammerhead_ribozyme from 1 species